GACGAACGCUGGCGGCGUGCUUAACACAUGCAAGUCGAACGGUGAAGCGCCAGCUUGCUGGAGUGGACCAGUGGCGAACGGGUGAGUAACACGUGAGCAACCUGCCCCUGACUCUGGAAUAAGCGCUGGAAACGGCGGCUAAUACUGGAUACGAGAAGGGUCCGCAUGGGCACUUUCAGGAAAGUUUUGCGGUGGGGGAUGGGCUCGCGGCAUAUCAGCUUGUUGGUGAGGUAAUGGCUCACCAAGGCGACGACGGGUAGCCGGCCUGAGAGGGCGACCGGCCACCCUGGUCCUGAGACACGGCCCAGUCUCCUACGGGACGCAGCAGUGGGGAAUAUUGCACAAUGGGCGCAAGCCUGAUGCAGCGACGCCGCGUUCGGGAUGACGUCCUUCGGGUUGUAAACCUCUUUCUGCGGGGAUGAAGCGAUAUUGACGGUACCUGCAGAAGAAGCACCGGCUAACUACGUG
rnacentral:rRNA from 1 species